rnacentral:rRNA from 1 species
ACGGAAGGCAGCAGUGGGGAAUAUUGGGCAAUGGGGGUAACCCUGACCCAGCAACGCCGCGUGAAGGAAGAAGGCCUUCGGGUUGUAAACUUCUUUUACCAGGGACGAUAAUGACGGUACCUGGAGAAAAAGCAACGGCUAACUACGUGCCAGCAGCCGCGGUAAUACGUAGGUUGCAAGCGUUGUCCGGAUUUACUGGGUGUAAAGGGCGUGUAGGCGGAGCUGCAAGUCAGAUGUGAAAUCCCGGGGCUCAACCCCGGAACUGCAUUUGAAACUGUAGCCCUUGAGUAUCGGAGAGGCAAGCGGAAUUCCUAGUGUAGCGGUGAAAUGCGUAGAUAUUAGGAGGAACACCAGUGGCGAAGGCGGCUCGCUGGACGACAACUGACGCUGAGGCGCGAAAGCGUGGGGAGCAAACAGGAUUAGAUACCCUGGUA